rnacentral:rRNA from 1 species
UUGCUAAGUUUGAUGGCGACCGGCGCACGGGUGAGUAACACGUAUCCAACCUGCCCUUUACUCGGGGAUAGCCUUUCGAAAGAAAGAUUAAUACCCGAUGGCAUAAUGAUUCCGCAUGGUUUCAUUAUUAAAGGAUUCCGGUAAAGGAUGGGGAUGCGUUCCAUUAGGUUGUUGGUGGGGUAACGGCCCACCAAGCCUUCGAUGGAUAGGGGUUCUGAGAGGAAGGUCCCCCACAUUGGAACUGAGACACGGUCCAAACUCCUACGGGAGGCAGCAUG